rnacentral:rRNA from 1 species
GCUGGCGGCAGGCCUAACACAUGCAAGUCGAGCGGUAACAUUUCUAGCUUGCUAGAAGAUGACGAGCGGCGGACGGGUGAGUAACGCGUAGAAAUCUACCUAGUAGUGGGGGAUAGCCCAGAGAAAUUUGGAGUUAAUACCGCAUACGCCCUACGGGGGAAAGCGGGGGAUCUUCGGACCUCGUGCUAUUAGAUGAGUCUGCGUCGGAUUAGCUUGUUGGUGAGGUAAUGGCUCACCAAGGCGACGAUCCGUAGCUGGUCUGAGAGGAUGACCAGCCACACUGGAACUGAGACACGGUCCAGACUCCUACGGGAGGCAGCAGUGGGGAAUAUUGCACAAUGGGCGCAAGCCUGAUGCAGCCAUGCCGCGUGUGUGAAGAAGGCCUUAGGGUUGUAAAGCACUUUCAGCAGUGAGGAAAGGGGUGUCGUUAAUAGCGCCAUCCUGUGACGUUAACUGCAGAAGAAGGACCGGCUAACUCCGUG